UGGGGGGACAGGCCAGUCUUUGCUUACAGACGGCCCCCCAGCCUGAAGCAAAUACUCACCAGCAACCACACACCACACAACAGAACCACUAACCCAGGAAUCUAUCCUUGCAACAAAGCCUGUUGCCAACUGUGUCCACAUAUCUAUUCAGGGGACACCAUCAUA